rnacentral:rRNA from 1 species
GAAUUCACUAGUGAUUGAGUUUGAUCCUGGCUCAGAACGAACGCUGGCGGCAGGCCUAACACAUGCAAGUCGAGCGCAGUCCUUCGGGACCGAGCGGCGGACGGGUUAGUAACGCGUGGGAACGUACCCAGAUCUAAGGAAUAGCCUCGGGAAACUGAGAGUAAUACCUUAUACGCCCUUCGGGGGAAAGAUUUAUCGGAUUUGGAUCGGCCCGCGUUAGAUUAGAUAGUUGGUGGGGUAAUGGCCUACCAAGUCUACGAUCUAUAGCUGGUUUUAGAGGAUGAUCAGCAACACUGGGACUGAGACACGGCCCAGGCUCCUACGGGAGGCAGCAGUGGGGAAUAUUGCACAAUGGGGGCAACCCUGAUGCAGCCAUGCCGCGUGUGUGAAGAAGGCCUUCGGGUUGUAAAGCACUUUCAGUUGUGAGGAAAGGUUAGUAGUUAAUACCUGCUAGCUGUGACGUUAACAACAGAAGAAGCACCGGCUAACUCCGUGCCAGCAGCCGCGGUAAUACGGAGGGUGCGAGCGUUAAUCGGAAUUACUGGGCGUAAAGCGCACGCAGGCGGUCUGUUAAGCUAGAUGUGAAAGCCCCGCGCUCAACGUGGGAGGGUCAUUUAGAACUGGCAGACUAGAGUCUUGGAGAGGGGAGUGGAAUUCCAGGUGUAGCGGUGAAAUGCGUAGAGAUCUGGAGGAACAUCAAUGGCGAAGGCAACUCCCUGGCCAAAGACUGACGCUCAUGUGCGAAAGUGUGGGUAGCGAACAGGAUUAGAUACCCUGGUAGUCCACACCGUAAACGCUGUCUACUAGCUGUUUGUGGAUUUAAUCCGUGAGUAGCGAAGCUAACGCGAUAAGUAGACCGCCUGGGGAGUACGGCCGCAAGGUUAAAACUCAAAUGAAUUGACGGGGGCCCGCACAAGCGGUGGAGCAUGUGGUUUAAUUCGAUGCAACAGACAGAGAGAACCUUACCUACUCUUGACAUACUAGAAACUUUCAGAGAUGAAUUGGUGCUCGGAUCUGAG